AAACAACCCACCCACCCCACCAUAACACCGUUGACCACCACUUCGCCACUACUACCACCACUACAACCACCAACAAGAAUCACCAAAAUCCCCAAACAAAAACAAAACACUGAAAUAACCACCACUACUCCCAGUGGUGAAUCUAGGUGAUGGCGAGCCUGGAUUCGCCGUAACCAUCGUCCGUCGGAAUGUAGCAAACACAUAUGUUGAGAUGCAAGGAAGAAAGAAGACGAGGAAGAGAGGAUUUGGGCUGGCUCAAUCUGUGAUGACAGACUUGGGUUGCUGGGUAGUUGGGCUUAGUGGGGGGGCUUUUUUUUUCCUUUAAUUAGGUAGGCCCAAUUGCUCAAAUACCAAAUCAAUGAAAAUGAAAAUCUUCUCCUAAUCUCCUUCCCGUCAAACCGCAGCAGAGAGGAGCAAAUUGGAAACCAUUCUUGAGUUCUUUUUCCCCCAAUUCCUUCCGCUCAAUUCCUUCCCAAAAGCUUUCAACGUAGGCACGCACCGACGCAUGUUCCGAUUUUAGCAAAUCUUUCUGAUCGACAACUCUGCUAUAUGAUUUGUGAAGUCCCGAGUCCGCCGUAGGUACUGACUUUUUUCUGGCUUAUAUAUUACAUGCCCACAUGCCACAAAUGCAUAGAAGUAGUUUAAUUUUCCAAUUUUGGGUUAGUUUAAUUUUCUAGUUCUUUUUCUGAUAAUAGAUUCUUUGUUGAGUGAGGUUUAAGAAAUUGGAAAUCAAAUUGUUUCAUGAAGUAGACAAUAGACUAAUACUUUAAUUUUCCAGUUUUGGGUUAGUUGUUGGUAGAUUUAUUGCGUGCUCUUUACUUUGAAUGAUCUGAUUGAUUGGAAAAUUUAUUAUGUGAUUAUGCAAAUGUAGCGACUCAAUUGGUUUAGAUUUUAUUAAUUGGCAUUUGUUUAGGGAACAUCGUAAUUAUUGAAAAAGUUUACAUUAUUGCAACGUUUUCAAAAUAUGAGAUCUCGUAGAAUUCAGUUGUCUAAGUUUAUAAUUACAAAGUAAGAUUGAAAUUGUAUUGUAUAUUUUUAUUAUUAUUUUGGAUUGUAUUGAAUUAUAUUUUCAUAUGUAUAUAAUUUUUACGUUUUGGUGGAUUUACAUAUAUAUUGACUAAUUUUUAAUAUUAUUUAAUCAAAUUUUAAUAAACGAUCGGCGACCGGUCGGAUCGGCUUUUACGAUGUUGAUUGUCGACGGUCAAUGGUCAAAGUCAACUUUCGCCCUAACUGAAUGUUCAUGCUAGAUUCGCCCCUGACUACUCCAACAAAAAAAAAUAAAAAAAAUAACACCCACCACCACUAAUGACAUUGACAACUGAACCCACCACCAAGCAUCGACGAUCAACAUCCUUACAAAAUAUUCUUUGGUUCAUGGACAUUUGCAUAAUUUUAUCAAUUCAUUCUUUAUUAUAUUUACCCCUUGAAACGACCGUUUAUUAUUUCCUCCAAAUUGCAGUAAAAUAAGUUCCCGGUAGAUGCUAUUCAUCAACUAUGUAUUUAUGUUCAAAUCAUCACAAUUUGUCUUUGUUGAGUAGUUGGAGAGAAAAAAAUCUGAAUUUGCACGAGGGCAUGGUGGACGAAGAUGUGGACAUGGUCAUGGGUUCUCAACUAAUGGAACUAGUAUGGAAAUGUGAAAAUUUAUUGUGGACAAGGGACAUUUAGUGAGGUCGAUGCCAGGAAACCCUAUUGAAAGACAUGGUAACUGGUUAGGGACGUCAAUGAACCGAACCAAAACUUGAGACUCGGGCUUGGCUAGAGUAAAAAUGGUUCGGACAUUUUUUAGCCUGAGCUGAGUUGAGCUUUCGUUGACCAAACACUCUAAGCUCAACUCGAGCUUUUGGCUCAGCUUAUCGAGCCGAGCCGAUUCACAUUUUUUAAAUAAAACUCAAGUAGCUAGUUGCUACCUUUUGCAAGCAGCUGUGUCUGAGUGUUGCCUGUAACAGGUAGCUAUGCUGCUUCUUGUUAUAGGCAGCACACAGCUGCUUGCAGCUUCAUCUUUCUGCUCUUUCACCUCAUUUCUGCACAUAGAACAAAGUCUACAACAGAAUAUAAAUGUUAAAAGACCACAAAGAUACAAAAACAAAAGAAAGAUUAUCCAAAAACAUUGCAGUAUACCCGUGCCCAGAGCUACUACCCUGAUAAAAAAACAUGAACUGGUCUUUCCUAUUCACCUUUCCCCACUUCUUUAAUCAAUACAGUGGCGUAUUCUUUUUCUCAUAUAUAUCUAAUCCUAUGUUCCUUCUACCAUCGUUUCUUUUCUAGAGUUAUCGAUGAAAUUAUCAAUGAAGAUGACAAAAAUCUGAAUGUUGAGAAGCCCUUAGGAGGGGAGGUUGCUACAGAUGGAAACAAAGAAACAUCUACAAUUGAAAUGGAAGAGAAGAAACCCGAUGAUAAAGUUAAGAUCUUCGUAUGGAUUAAUUCAUGAUUUCGUUACUUUAGUGGUUGUUGUCUGCUACUUCCAUAGGUCAAUGUUUGAUCCUCUUCUCCUAUGUUCACGUAACGUCUUGAGAGAUGAAAGCUGUUGAAUGAAAAAGAUCCCCCUUCUUCUUCUUUUUAAUGAUGGGUUUUUUGAUUUUCAAUAGAUCUUUACUCUUAAAUGAUUAAUCUGAUGAUUAUUUAUAUGAACUUCAACUUUUUUACAGGGACAUUGAUGUCGUAAGUGGAUUUAGACUGUACAUGGUUUCUUCUUGUUUCUGGUAAUGGAGCAAAUUGUUCAGAAUUCCAUGAUUUUUUUUUUUAUUUUAGAAAAACGAGUAUUUUUAUUUAUUUUAUUUUUUUCACAAUCUUCUUCUCUCAAUCGUUCCAAAAGUACCCAACAAAUGGAUGCACAACUGAGACGAUUACUUGUAUAUCAAAUCAUUAAACCUUCAAUUUAUUAUUCUGCUGAAUAUUUUAUUGUUGAAUCUUGAUUUUAUUUUUUAUUUUUUAACAAAUCG
rnacentral:lncRNA from 1 species